GAUCAUUGCUAGACGUUAAUAUCUAAUAUUUGGCCAAGUAAAUUUUAACAAACGAAUCCACGGACGCGUAUAUUCAAAAUGUGUUCAAGUUCAACACAUUCUAUUGGGAGCCAAACUAUUAAAAGACAUCAGUUACAAUUUGUAUCUUCUGUUCAAGGGACUCCUUAUUCUUCUUCAACUACAUACAAUAUUUCACAUCCUCAUCAUCAUGAGCAUCAUGUUAAAUGUAGACGUAUUGGUCCAAAGUGUCAAACAGAUAAACCAGAAGAAGAUGAUCGCGUUGCAGAAUAUGGUGAUGACAAGAGGAAGAUCCAUACGGGUCCAAACCCCUUGCACAACAGAUGAAACAAAAGGCUACUAAAUUUCAACGACGUGUAAAGAGAUGGUUUUGGUUAAAAGUCAAAGGAGUAAACUUGCAUGAUAAAUAAAGAGCCAUAAAGGUAAUUUGGUAUGCAAUUACUGUAUAUCCUUUUCUUUUUCUUCUUAUCACUCACGCAUAUCAUAAAGUUUUGUUAUUAAAAAUCUAGGUUUUCCUUCAAGAAAUGGUUGAGAUAUAUAGUACUAGAAAGAUUUUGGUUGUAAAGAGUAUGAACGAAAGAUGGAGAUUGUUUCUAUAUAUGUCCAAUAUAAAGGACGUCUACAUAUAUAUUUUUGGAAUGGCAAAAUGAAUAUAUUGACUUUCAGUUUUAUGAUACUUCCUUUUGUGGAAACAUUUGAAUUUCCCUUACAAUAAUUCCUCAUUUAUUAAUCCUAUAUUUUCGACAUCAAUUUUUUACUGACCUCAUAGGUAAUGUCAAAUUUUGUAAAUUUUGUGAAGCAUUGGGACAAUUUUUGUAAUGUCGCUAUUAGGCAGUGAUCAUUUAAGUAGUUUUGUUAAAUACAUGGACCAUUUGUGUAAUUUCGGAAUUAGGCAUGGACAAUUAAUUAUGUUGUUUUGUGGAACGUA